GAAACCCAGUGUGAUUCGUCACACUAUCAUUAACUGAAUCCAUAGGUUAAUGAGGCGAACCGGGGGAACUGAAACAUCUAAGUACCCCGAGGAAAAGAAAUCAACCGAGAUUCCCCCAGUAGCGGCGAGCGAACGGGGAGGAGCCCAGAGCCUGAAUCAGCAUGUGUGUUAGUGGAAGCGUCUGGAAAGGCGCGCGAUACAGGGUGACAGCCCCGUACACAAAAGCGCAUAUGCUGUGAGCUCGAUGAGUAGGGCGGGACACGUGGUAUCCUGUCUGAAUAUGGGGGGACCAUCCUCCAAGGCUAAAUACUCCUGACUGACCGAUAGUGAACCAGUACCGUGAGGGAAAGGCGAAAAGAACCCCGGCGAGGGGAGUGAAAAAGAACCUGAAACCGUGUACGUA
rnacentral:rRNA from 2 species